AGCUUGCUAAAUGGACUCAUGGCGGACGGGUGAGUAACGCGUAAAGAACUUGCCCUUUAGACUGGGAUAACAGAGGGAAACUUCUGAUAAUACUGGAUAAGUUAGUAUAUCGCAUGAUAUGCAAAUGAAAGCUACGGCACUAAAGGAGAGCUUUGCGUCCUAUUAGCUAGUUGGUAAGGUAAGAGCUUACCAAGGCGAUGAUAGGUAGCCGGCCUGAGAGGGUGGACGGCCACAAGGGGACUGAGAUACGGCCCUUACUCCUACGGGAGGCAGCAGUGGGGAAUAUUGGACAAUGGAGGGAACUCUGAUCCAGCAAUUCUGUGUGUGUGAAGAAGGUUUUAGGACUGUAAAACACUUUUAGUAGGGAAGAAAAAAAUGACGGUACCUACAGAAGAAGCAACGGCUAAAUACGUGCCAGCAGCCGCGGUAAUACGUAUGUUGCGAGCGUUAUCCGGAAUUAUUGGGCUUAAAGGGCAUCUAGGCGGUAAGACAAGUUGAAGGUGAAAACCUGUGGCUCAACCAUAGGCUUGCCUACAAAACUGUUGAACUAGAGUACUGGAAAGGUGGGUGGAACUACACGAGUAGAGGUGAAAUUCGUAGAUAUGUGUAGGAAUGCCGAUGAUGAAGAUAACUCACUGGACAGAAACUGACGCUGAAGUGCGAAAGCUAGGGGAGCAAACAGGAUUAGAUACCCNNNUAGUC
rnacentral:rRNA from 1 species